GCUGGGCACGGUGUCGCAUGCCUAUAGUCCCAGACACUCAAGAGGCUGAGGUGGGAGGAUCGCUUGAGUCCAGGAGUUCUGGGCUGUGGUGCGCUAUGCUGAUCGGGUGUCCGCACUAAGUUCGGCAUCAAUAUGGUGACCUCCCGGGAGCGGGGCACCACCCGUUUGCCUAAGGAGGGGUGAACCGGCCCAGGUCGGAAAUGGAGCAGGUCAAAACUCCUGUGCUGAUCAGUAGUGGGAUCACACCUGUGAAUAGCUACUGCACUCCAGCCUGGGCAACAUAGCGAGACCCCAUCUCU
rnacentral:SRP_RNA from 1 species